rnacentral:lncRNA from 1 species
GGUCUCAAGUGUCGCACAGGCUGGAAUGCAGUGGUGUGAACACGGCUCACUGCAGCUCAACCUCCCAGGCUCAAACAAUCCUCCCACCUCCGCCUCCCAAGUAACUGGGACCACAGGCUACAUAUACUGGCCAAUCAGAAGAAGAGAGAGCAGGCUAACAAAAUUCUGAAGAUAGCACUGACUCAGCACCAUCAUCCUUGUGGCAUGAGAAUUCACAUACCCAUGGAUUUAGACUGGGAUGCUUGAUUUAAUUCCCCUUUAUAAGGGAUUAAAUUAACCUUGACUAGUUUAGAUCAAUGAAUCUCAGCAAAAGCAGAAUAACCCUUUCAGAAAUUUGAAGAAGCUUUUCUUUUUUUAAAAAAACUGUUUUGAUGAUUUGAUAGAAUUACAGGCAUUAGUAAGCAAGGGUAGGGGAAGGUGAAAGAUGCUAAAAGUCAUACACAAAAUAAUCCUUCAUAAGGAAGAAUUUUUGAGAGUUCUGCAAGACAUUCUAAUAUCCUCCUAGACAUUUGUACAGAAAAUUAUGUAUAAUAAAAAUUGCUACCCACCCAUUAUCACUUAUCUUAACAAUAGUUUUGCUUUAAGUUACAAGUUUGCUUGUAUGGAAUGGCUUCUCAUCUUCUAACUUCUCUUAAAUUUGAAUUUAUUCAUUUUAAAAUAGCAUAACAAUUUAGUUACUUGAGUACGUCUCUAGGUUAGUUGAGACUGAACAUUUACGUAUUGAACCCUAUAUUGUAGUAUUAAAAAUCACAUUAUUUUAUCCUUUGCAUUACAGUUAAAGCAUUAUAUCAAUUUUUUCUGAAUAAAUGAGUAGGCAAUUCUCAUUUUAAGAUAAAGAAGGUGUGAGAAAAUAUUUGUAUUGAAAGGUUAGCACUGAGACUGUUUGAACCGAGACCUACUGUCUUGCAUCAGUUAAUGCCAACAACUGGGUACAUGGCUGACAUAAAACAGAGGCAGCAUAAUAAAAGGCGAAUGACCAAUUUUUCUAUGUGUAUUCUUAGUACUUGUGAUUAAUCAUUUUAAUAAAGAAUUAUAUAAAUAAUUUCUUGUAAAAGAUAAGGUAUUCAAACUACCUUAGUACUUGUGAUUAAUCAUUUUAAUAAAGAAGAAUUAUAGAAAUAAUUUCUUGUAAAAGAUAAGGUAUUCAAACACAGAUGAUCUUAUUGUUGAUUAUUAGUAUGGAGCCCUUGAUAUAGUCUAAAAAUUUAUUUUGUAUAAUAAUAUUUUGGAGCUAUGUACAAUAUUUGAGAAUUAAAGAAUAUAUGUUAUUUUCUUUCUUUCCUUCCUUCCUUCCUUCCUUCCUUUCUUUCUUUUUUGAGAUGGAGUUUUGCUCUGUCACCCAGGCUGGAAUGCAGUUUCACGAUCUCAGCUCACUGCAACCUCCACCUCCCUGGUUCAAGCAAUUCUCUGCCUCAGCCUCCCGAGUAGCUGGGAUUACAGGCGCCCAACACCAGGCUGGCUAAUUUUUUGUAUUUUUAGUAGAGGCAGGAUUUCACCAUCUUGGCCAGGCUGAUCUUGAACUCCUGACCUCAUGAUCCAUCCACCUCAGCCUCCCAAAGUGCUGGGAUUACAGGCAUGAGCCACCACGCCUGGCCUAUGUUUUUGCUUUCUAAACUCUGGUCCAAUGCAAUGAACUUCUAUUUAUUCCUCAGGAUAUGUUGCAACAUAUUAGAGUUAUAUGCAAGCUUUUAUCCUUCUGGGGAGUCGAAUGCUUUUCCAAAGAAUAUUUUAUGCUAAUAAAAUGCGUGUUAUAUCUGCCU